GAAAUAAUUAAAAUUGAACUUCUAAUUCAUUAAUUUAUGAUAUUUAAUCAUUUUAUUUCU
rnacentral:tRNA from 1 species